UACGUAGGUGGCAAGCGUUGUCCGGAUUUACUGGGCGUAAAGCGUGCGCAGGCGGUUUUGUAAGCCAGAUGUGAAAUCCCCGGGCUCAACCUGGGAAUGGCAUUUGGGACUGCAAGGCUGGAGUACGGCAGAGGAGACUGGAAUUCCUGGUGUAGCAGUGAAAUGCGUAGAUAUCAGGAGGAAUACCGAUGGCGAAGGCAGGUCUCUGGGCUGAUACUGACGCUCAUGCACGAAAGCGUGGGGAGCAAACAGG
rnacentral:rRNA from 1 species